CAAAGACAAUAUGGAAAGAAUAAGAAACAAACAGAAAAACUGAGCUUCUUAAAAAGCAGAUUUGCUACAAUAUAAACUAGAGAGGAGUUAAGAGCCCUCAAACACUUUUGAGUUGGAGUAGAGUAGGGCUUCUUGAACUUUGAGUCUCCUCUGGAAUGUCUGGUCGACUUGAAUGCAGGAGGAGGCUUCUUUAAAAUGCUGGGAAGAGGAAGUUGGAUGGAGUUAAUGGCGCUCUUCCUUCUUUUCGUUGAAGACAAGUAUGCAGAGAAUGAAUGCUUGAUUUCUCUGAAUGGAAUGGUGCUUUUUUUGCCUUGCUACAGUCCUCUGUGGCUAUUUAAGCCAUCC
rnacentral:lncRNA from 1 species